CAGCCGCCGCGGUAAUACGUAGGGUGCGAGCGUUGUCCGGAAUUAUUGGGCGUAAAGGGCUCGCAGGCGGUUUCUUAAGUCUGAUGUGAAAGCCCCCGGCUCAACCGGGGAGGGUCAUUGGAAACUGGGAAACUUGAGUGCAGAAGAGGAGAGUGGAAUUCCACGUGUAGCGGUGAAAUGCGUAGAGAUGUGGAGGAACACCAGUGGCGAAGGCGACUCUCUGGUCUGUAACUGACGCUGAGGAGCGAAAGCGUGGGGAGCGAACAGGAUUAGAUACCCCCGUAGUCCCUGUCUCUUAUCC
rnacentral:rRNA from 1 species